AACGUCUUCAUUUGCAGGGCAUGUGCUUGCUCACAGCGUCCAUGGACAUGAAUUUAAGCAGAAGUUCCCGUACUCUCACCAGGAGGCCAGAAAAUACAGUAAGCUGACCCAUUGUCAUUGAAUAAUGGCUGACUGAAGUGAAGACGCUUGCAAUACAAGGAAGUCAACCUUUUUCAACGUACUGACAAAGAGUCAAGCUGCAACUGAGAAUUUCCCCUUCUGCACCAUUGACCCAAAUGAAAGCCGAGUGCCCAUUCCAGAUGAACGCUAUGAUUUCCUGUGCCAAUUCCACAAGCCUGUCAGCAAGGUGACCGGCCUUCCUGAACGUGGUGGACAUAGCAGGACUGGUGAAGGGAGCUCACGCUGGCCAGGGCCUGGGCAAUGCCUUCCUGUCCCACAUCAGUUCCGGCGAUGGCAUCUUCCACACGACAUGUGCGUUUGCAGAUGAGGACAUUGUCCACGUGGAGGGGAACGUGGACCCAGUGAGGGACAUUGAGAUCAUCCAUGAGGAGCUGAGGCUGAAGGAUGAGGAGAUGAUCAGGCCCAUUAUGGAGAAGCUGGAAAAGGUGGCCGCGAGGGGAUGCGACAAGAAACUCCAUCCUGAAUAUGACGUAACGCUCAAAAUCAAGAACUGGGUAGCGGAUGAAAAGAAACGUGUUCGCUACUGUCGUGGUUGGACUGAGAAAGAGAUCGAAGUGUUGAACAAAUACUUGUUUUUGACAUCCCAAGCCAAUGGUUUACCUCAUUAACCUCUCAGAGAAAGACUACUUCAGAAGAAAGAA